AAGAUCAUACUUCACAGGAUCAUUUCUGUAGUAUAUCUUCACAUCCUCUCUACUCAAUUGUGGAGUCGAUACAGCCACGAUGACGAGGAAUAAUCCUCUUCUCUGAGCGUGAGGACGACUGAUAUCUCGAUUUUUUUCGAGAAAUCAGUCAUCGAUGAUCGUUCACCUCUUGAACUUGUUCAAGAGGCAUGAGAAGUGGAUAUUCUGAGUGGU
rnacentral:snoRNA from 1 species